rnacentral:misc_RNA from 1 species
AUGGAGCUCGUUGUAAGAGAAUCGUCGGUCACUUUACCAAAAUUUAUUGGUUUCAUGCAUGUCUUUAUUUAUUUGUAAUGUGCCUUUAUGCCUAAGAAAGCAAAGGGAAUUUACUUUUGUGACUUUUACCAUGCACAUACCAUACCAAAAGCAUAAUUUAAGCUAAAUGCAGGUUAAUGAGUCACAAUUUCUCAAAUUUAGCAAUGGAAUUAAAUAAUUAAUGAGGAUGAAGAACAGUUAAUUGAAGAACUGAUCACUGCUACAAAUACUAAUAUUUUAUCAUUUCCAUUGGUGGUAGAGAUCUAAAAAAGUAUCAAAUUCUAUCUACCUCAGGCUCCAUUGGAGUCAUUUAGGAAAAGCCUUUUGAAUUCUAAUCUAACCAGUCACAAUUCACAGGCAGUGGAUUGCUAGAAAGCAAAGAAUUGAUUUCUUGCAGAUGCAAUUCUCAUCAAGACUUGAUUUUCUUUCCUUGUGGGCAAAAAAACAAACAGGAACUGAACAAGAGCUACCAAAAUUAAAUACGCCAUAGCUAAAGCAAGAAGCUAGAUCUUGUACUCAAACCAUAGAGUUAGCAUCCGGCAAACCUUGGUGGAGAUCAACGGAGGAAGCCGCCGUCGCCGUCCCAUUAUUAGGACGCUUGGCAGGUACAGAAGCUCGACAAACAGGACAAUUAGAAUGAGAAUUCAGCCACAAAUUGAUACAAGAAGCAUGAAAGCUAUGCUUGCACACACUCAAUUGCUUCACUUCUUCCCCAUCAGCGAAAACAGAAAGGCACACUGGACACUCACUCCCAAUAUCCUUCACAUGGGUCUCCUUCUGAUACUUGACACCAGAAACCACUUCUUUUUUCUCAGCUGGGUUCUCGUCGAUGACGGGAAAUUCCCCGGAAUUGCUCCUGCGGCGCCUCCUGAAAGGACUAGGAGGGCACUUGAUAGAGAAAAAGAAGGUGUAGAUCAAGGCAGGGAUGGUGAUAACAGCGAUGAUGCCAAGAAUGAACUCUAGAGGAGAUAAAUCUACGCUUCUGGGAGGUGCAGGGAAGGGUGGGGGUUCAGGGGAAACGAAGAUGGUUGGUGGUGGGUGCUCCAUGAAAAAGAAGGAAGGACAGUUUGUGUUUUCCUGUUUCUUGAUUUAUUAUUAUUAGUUUUUUUUUUCUUUUUUUAACUUUUUUUCUUAGAAGCUGUGUUGGAGAAAUUCUGGCCUUCUGGGUUGUGGGUGUGGUGGUGUGGGUGAGGGCUUGUCAAUAAUUGAAGGGAAAAUGCAGUGGGUAUUAGAGGACAAAAACGGCG